GGUCCGCUGGCGUAAUGGCAGCGCGUCUGACUACGAAUCAGGAGGUUCCAGGUUCGACCCCUGGGCGGAUCG